AGAUAAUAGAUACCCUGGUAGUCCAUGCCGUAAACGUUGGGAACUAGGUGUGGGUCUCAUUCCACGAGAUCCGUGCCGCAGCUAACGCAUUAAGUUCCCCGCCUGGGGAGUACGGCCGCAAGGCUAAAACUCAAAGGAAUUGACGGGGGCCCGCACAAGCGGCGGAGCAUGCGGAUUAAUUCGAUGCAACGCGAAGAACCUUACCAAGGCUUGACAUAUACCGGAAACAUCUAGAGAUAGGUGCCCCGCAAGGUCGGUAUACAGGUGGUGCAUGGUUGUCGUCAGCUCGUGUCGUGAGAUGUUGGGUUAAGUCCCGCAGCGAGCGCAACCCUCGUUCUAUGUUGCCAGCACGUUAUGGUGGGGACUCAUAGGAGACUGCCGGGGUCAACUCGGAGGAAGGUGGGGAUGACGUCAAAUCAUCAUGCCCCUUAUGUCUUGGGCUUCACGCAUGCUACAAUGGCCGGUACAAAGGGCUGCGAAACCGCGAGGUGGAGCGAAUCCCAAAAAACCGGUCUCAGUUCGGAUUGGGGUCUGCAAC
rnacentral:rRNA from 1 species